rnacentral:rRNA from 1 species
GGAUUAGAUACCCUGGUAGUCCUUGCCGUAAACGAUGCAUACUUGGUGUAGCUGGACUCAACCCCGGCUGUGCCGUAGCUAACGUGUUAAGUAUGCCGCCUGGGGAGUACGCUCGCAAGGGUGAAACUCAAAAGAAUUGACGGGGGCCCGCACAAGCAGUGGAGCAUGUGGUUUAAUUCGAUGCAACGCGAAGAACCUUACCCAGACUUGACAUCUAGAGGACCGCAUCAGAGAUGAUGUUCCCCGCAAGGGCCUUUAGACAGGUGCUGCAUGGCUGUCGUCAGCUCGUGCUG